GAGUUUGAUCCUGGCUCAGGGUUAACGCUGGCGGCGCGCAUAACACAUGCAAGUCGAGCGAGGGCUUAUUUCCCGCAAGGGAAGUGAGUUCCUAGCGGCGAACGGGUGAGUAACACGUGGGCAACCUUUCCUAUCGCGGGGGAUAACACCGGGAAACCGAUGCUAAUACCGCAUGUCGUCACCGGUCGCAUGGCCGGUGAAGAAAGCAGCAAUGCACGAUGGGGUGGGCCCGCGGCCUAUCAGCUAGUCGGUGGGGUAACGGCCUACCGAGGCGAUGACGGGUAGCUGGUCUGAGAGGACGGCCAGCCACACGGGGACUGAGACACGGCCCCGACUCCUACGGGAGGCAGCAGUGAGGAAUCUUCCGCAAUGGGCGAAAGCCUGACGGAGCGACGCCGCGUGUGGGAUGAAGUCUUUCGGGAUGUAAACCACUGUCGGAGGGGAAGACAUCGACGGUACCCUCCAACAAAGCCCCGGCUAACUACGUGCCAGCAGCCGCGGUAAUACGUAGGGGGCAAGCGUUAUCCAGAUUUACUGGGCGUAAAGCGCGUGUAGGCGGCUGGUUAGGUGUGAUGUGAAAUCUUCCGGCUCAA
rnacentral:rRNA from 1 species